CCCGUCCCCAUGGUUGUCUGACACCGUCCUGCAGGGAUGGGUAUAGCAAGGCACCUAUUCAGGGAGAACCAAGCUCCCACCGUCAGACCAGAGGAGGCUGAAGUAACAGGAGCUGCAGUUUUCAAGAAAACCUGCCUGUUCAAAGGAGCUCUGACCUUCAUGCUGCCCUUGCUGGGUACAGACUCGGAGCCCCACCAUCUCCUCCGUGCUCAGGUCCUGCCGGGACGGCAGACCCGCGGCCUCAGACCCAACUGUGAUUUCCCUGCCAGAUCACUUGCCUCAGCCUGCAGACUUAGUGCCAGGUGAUUUGGGGCUCCCGUCACAUCUCACAUCUGUCACGCAAGGACGUAUUUCUCACCACGGUGACACUUCCAAAAGAUGUGUCCAGCCCGGGCAUCCGUGCCAGCCACGUUCUGAGCAGCUGCUCCAAGGAUGUGGUGAAGCUUACCUAUACAUACGACUCCUGAAAUACCCGAGAAGAGUGAAAAUGACACAAAACAGGUGAGGGACUGGAAUAAGACUAAACCACGCCGUCUCCUCCUACAGAUAAGCUGCAGCUCACAGCCUACACCUGCCACCGCAAACAGGGAGCAGACACAGAGGUGAUGUCCAGAGGACGUGGGGUGGCCAGGAGCGCAGGAUCUAGGGCCGUGUUUCCUGCCGGGCAAUCCUCACACCACCUGGAGCAGGCCACCCUGAGUUGGGAGGCCGACUCUGGGGGUAGGUCUUGAGUGGUGGCCAGGAGUCUGCGUUAGCAUGCAAGUCUGUUGUUUCUGAUGAAGUCUGAGGAGCUUUGGGGAGGAGCGCCAGUGUGUCAGCUUUAAGCAAACUGAAUUAUAUGUGCCCCAAACCAGAUUCCCCAUCCGUGUGGCUUUCCACGAUUGGCCUGGGGCUUGUCCCUCCUCUUCUUGCCCGGUUCCUGCUGCCACCAGGCGGUUCCCCUCCUCCUCCUUUUCUGUCUCUGCUGCCUGUGGUUCUGUGCCCUCCUCACCUCAUCUAGCUAUUCAUUCCAGUGGUCCUGAGGCAGCAGAUGAGGCCAGAGGUGAGGGGGGCUCCUAAAUGGACAUCUUCUCUGGAUUCUCUUGCUCCUUCCCCAACCUCAGCUCCACCCACCACCCUCCUAGAGCUCGCACUCUGGGCUUCAUGAGCCUCUAGCAGCAGCUUGGAGCUGGGAGUGAAGAGUGUAGGGGAAACAGAGGCUGAUGCGUGGUCUGGACAGGUAGAUGCAUCAAGUGCAGUUCAGGGUCUUGAGGCCCUCCUGAUGGGGAAGCCACUAGGAGCCAUAAUGCUGGGUCCUGCGCCCUCCCUUGUGGUCUACUUUUAUCGAUGACUCGGAUGAAGUUCUGGAUAGCACAGAGCUACAUCAUGGAAGGGAAACAGAGAGAGAGAGUCGCUGAGUCAACAGCAGAAGGGCAUGCCCACGGCGCCCGGGAAUAUUUUCCAACAGAAUCAUUGUUGUCCAGAUGAUGAGGGCAUUUCCCCAGGGUCCUUGUGGGUCAAGAACAUCAUGGCCUGGAUGGUGUCUUAUGGACUGCUUUUCAUUUAUAUCCCUUGCAAACUGAAGUUUCUUCUUCUGAACUUGGAAACAAUAACCCCCAAAUAUUUCACAUGCUAUUUCACAGACUGAAUGAAAUAAUGAAUCUGAAUGUACUUUGUAAGUGAAAACAUAUUACACAAAUGCAAAUUGGUA